GCAUUGCUGAGGAGUUUCACAAUAGGACGAAACGACCGUCCAUUGC
rnacentral:hammerhead_ribozyme from 1 species